ACGCCGAUGGUGAAACGGUUAUCAUGCUUGCCUUCCAUUUGGUACCAAGAUAUGCCUCUAGCAAGCGGUAGGGGUUCGACUCCCCUUCGGCGUA